rnacentral:rRNA from 1 species
CGCGGUGAAUACGUUCCCGGGCCUUGUACACACCGCCCGUCAAACAAUGGAAGCUGGGGGUGCCUGAAGUCGGUAACCGUAAGGAACUGCCUAGGGUAAACUAGUAACUGGUGUU